CCAAUAGCGUAUAUUAAAGUUGUUGCAGUUAAAAAGCUCGUAGUUGAAUUUCGGGAUCAGACUGUCGGUCGUGCCUCGGUACGCACUGGCAUUAUUGGUUCCUACCUUCUGAAGAACCGCGAUGUCAUUAAUUUGGUGUCGUGGGGAAUCAGGACUGUUACUUUGAAAAAAUUAGAGUGUUUAAAGCAGGCGCACGCUUGAAUACAUUAGCAUGGAAUAAUGAAAUAGGACGUUUGAUUCUAUUUUGUUGGUUUCUAGGAUCGACGUAAUGAUUAAUAGGGAUAGUUGGAGGCAUUAGUAUUCAAUUGUCAGAGGUGAAAUUCUUGGAUUUAUUGAAGAAUAACUACUGCGAAAGCAUUUGCCAAGGAUGUUUUUAUUAAUCAAGAACGAAAGUUAGGGGAUCGAAGACGAUCAGAUACCGUCGUAGUCUUAACCAUAAACUAUGCCGACUAGGGAUCGGAUGAUGUUAAUUUUUUAAUGACUCAUUCGGCGCCUUACG
rnacentral:rRNA from 1 species